rnacentral:rRNA from 1 species
AGUGAACGCUGGCGGUAGGCCUAACACAUGCAAGUCGAACGGCAGCACAGUAAGAGCUUGCUCUUACGGGUGGCGAGUGGCGGACGGGUGAGGAAUACAUCGGAAUCUACUUUUUCGUGGGGGAUAACGUAGGGAAACUUACGCUAAUACCGCAUACGACCUACGGGUGAAAGCAGGGGAUCUUCGGACCUUGCGCGAUUGAAUGAGCCGAUGUCGGAUUAGCUAGUUGGCGGGGUAAAGGCCCACCAAGGCGACGAUCCGUAGCUGGUCUGAGAGGAUGAUCAGCCACACUGGAACUGAGACACGGACCAGACUCCUACGGGAGGCAGCAGUGGGGAAUAUUGGACAAUGGCCGCAAGCCUGAUCCAGCCAUACCGCGUGGGUGAAGAAGGCCUUCGGGUUGUAAAGCCCUUUUGUUGGGAAAGAAAAGCAGCAGGUUAAUACCCCGCUGUUCUGACGGUACCCAAAGAAUAAGCACCGGCUAACUUCGUG